AUGUUAGACAUACCCGGGGUGGGUAGCACAGGCAUGGGACCACAGCCUCUUAGCCAGGGAACCUGCACAGUGCCUGGACCCAGAUGAGAGACCCAGACCAUGCCAAGUCUUCAGGGAGAAGAAGGAGAUUGGGACGUGGAGGGGAAAUAGGAUUCGGGGCCUUCCAGGGUCAGUGAGAGAUGCCAGUGAGAACUGACGAGCUGGAGGGCUGGACAGAAGUCAGCAGGCUCCUGGCUCAUGCACAUUUACUUUCUUUCUCUUUCUGUCAAUUACAAAUUAAAACAUACUAGUGGUAAACAUUUCAAACAUCAGAGAACAAAAGAACAAAAAUGGAAGUUCCCCUCUUUCACAAUUUCCCAGUGGUCAAUGUGAAUUGUUUGGUAUUUAUCCUUCCAGACAUUUAUGUAUGAACCUACAAACAAGCAGGAAAAUUGAAACUCAGAAAAAGAAAGUGACUGGCUCAAGACCACAUGACCCAAGUUAGGGCUGCAAUGUCCUGGAGAGGAAGGAAAGCUCAAGGAAGACUUGUUUGAGGGGCACCUUGAAGAAGUAAAAAGAGCCACAGCUAUGGCUAUCUCCAACCCUGAGGCCAGCCAGCUGAGCUCUUGAGGUUGGCUCAGUGCAUGGGUCCUGAAGCUCUGUCACAAGGAUACUUAUAAGGACACCAGGAUGGGCAGGCACAGAUUCUAGAAGACUUGUUCCCUGUGGAUUAUGGCAAUGCCAGUCUCUGCUCUGCCCUCAGGCAGAAGUUGUCUAAAGCUCAUUGCCCUGAGCAGUGUCAGGAACUGAGGAGGAACAUGUUCCAGCUGGCUUUGGAGCAUCUCUUCACAAACUCAUUUCCCAUAGAAUACUCUUAAAGUAAGAAUAUAUCAGAACACCACCAGAAGGUCACGACCUCCAGAUUAAAGGAGACAUCCCAGUCUCACAAAACAACAGAGGUGUCACAAAUUAACUGCUACAAGAAAUGAUAAAAAAUGUAUUCCUAUUUUGAAUAGACAGUAAGUACUGAGCACCACAGUCACUGAAACUAUAAGACUAGGUGCAAGACACAGUAAAAUUAUCAAAUAUCUUAAAUGCAAUUCAGUAUGUGGUUGGAGAACACAUUAAUUAAGAUGAAAGUGAAGAAAUAUUUGUUGAAAUGAAGCAAUGCAUUUGUGCACCGGGGAAUAGUUCAGGAAGCUUGUAGGACUUCUUGAUGUGUUAGUUCAGGUCCUCCUGGAAGCAAAUGUCAGAAGGGGAUUAAAUGUGGGAUAGAUUUAUUGAGGAAAAGACUCGUGAGGGAAAACAGGCAAGGAGCCGAGGAAGCUGGGAGAGCUGGCAGGAGAUGGCGCCAGUGAGACCCGGAUGGAGGACAGAGAGGAAGGAAUGAAGAUUGGGCUGGGAAAGUCUUAGACUGUGAUGAAAUUUUAAGAAAGUUUCAGCAGAGCCACGGGGUCUUCCUCAAUCUGAAAUUGCCCAUUAGAAGACUCGUUGGUCUCCCAAGAUAGCCCUGGCUUCCAGCCCUUGCCUGCUCAGUCACUGCCCGGGGGCAAGCCAUGGGAAGUGUGGUCUUGGAGAGAAUGUGGCAAGGGAUUUCUGCCAUUACGGUGGGCCCUGCACAGUGCUUGGGUGUGGCAUACCAUUUAUUAAAGGCAAUGAUUAUGUCACAGCAGGAUCAAUCAUAGAAACGUGUUUAUUUUUAUUAUGCAUAUAUUUUUCCAAUAAAUUUUAUUUAUUAUUAUUUUUUCCAAUAAAUUUAAAAGGGUGAAAAUAUCACUAGCCUUGAUUGCAUUUUAGAAUGCUACAUUACAUCUCAAAAAACAUUUUGGAAAAUUCUGAGUUCCUUUGAUGCCUAGCCAAGGAUAAUUGGGUUUGUGGAAAGAAGAUACAGGACAGGUGGGAAAUCUGGGUUCUAGCCUAGUUCUGCCACCAAUUUGCUCUGGGAACUUCUUCAAUCCAUUUCUUUAGUUUUCACACCUUAAAAUGGGUACAAACAAGAGAGGCUCAUACCUGUCUCUGGGGACCUGCAGUUCCAAGUCCCGUAGAGACAGGCUCCUGGGCAGAGGACUUUAUGGCAAUGUGACUGCUUUUGUGGCAUCAGAGGCUGCUUGCACUCCCCACCCUGUACCCACUUGGGCAUGCCAAGCAGGAACCUAGCUGCCCACCACCCUCUACUUGUGGCCUUCCGGAGCAGACUGAUUCAGCUUCUGUAUUUUCAUUUCCCCCCUGUCAGCUGUUAGAGCAGCUUUGAGUGCUGGAAGGUGAGGAGGCUUUGGAAGGGGGCUGUGGUAGACAAGGGGGAAGGUGUCACCUUCCAAAACAACCCCUGGCCACUUUGAAGCAGACUCAACACCACCCCGUUUCCAGGAAACCCUCAGAGGCUGAGCGAAGGAGGGUGUUUUUAAGAAAUGUAGCCUGGUGCAAGAUUGCAAGGCCUCCCGGACAGAAGGGGGACAAGCCAAGAGCCUGAGGUCCAAUCAGAUUUGGAGGGGGAUCAGGGAGCAGAAUGAGGUGGACAGGGGUUAAUGGUGAGAUCAGGGUAUGAGGUCCCCAAGGGUGAGGUCUGUGUCUCCUUCAUCUGACUAGGAGUUCCUAGAUGGCCGUGUCCUGGUCUCCCUUUGAGAUGAGGAGGCUUGUGUCUUGCAUUAAAUCAAGAGUUUAAUACGGGGCCUCCAAAACGCAGCCUCAUCAAUUUAUCUCCCCAAGUCUAGUGGCAAAGCUUCCCAUCUCCCAAAAGUCUGCUUCUAUUAAGGCUCUCCACUCCACCCUCUG